rnacentral:rRNA from 1 species
UGGGGAAUUUUGGACAAUGGGGGAAACCCUGAUCCAGCCAUCCCGCGUGUGCGAUGAAGGCCUUCGGGUUGUAAAGCACUUUUGGCAGGAAAGAAACGUCGCGGGUUAAUACCCCGCGGAACUGACGGUACCUGCAGAAUAAGCACCGGCUAACUACGUGCCAGCAGCCGCGGUAAUACGUAGGGUGCAAGCGUUAAUCGGAAUUACUGGGCGUAAAGCGUGCGCAGGCGGUUCGGAAAGAAAGAUGUGAAAUCCCAGAGCUUAACUUUGGAACUGCAUUUUUAACUACCGGGCUAGAGUGUGUCAGAGGGAGGUGGAAUUCCGCGUGUAGCAGUGAAAUGCGUAGAUAUGCGGAGGAACACCGAUGGCGAAGGCAGCCUCCUGGGAUAACACUGACGCUCAUGCACGAAAGCGUGGGGAGCAAACAGGAUUAGAUACCCUGGUAGUCCACGCCCUAAACGAUGUCAACUAGCUGUUGGGGUCUUCGGACCUUGGUAGCGCAGCUAACGCGUGAAGUUGACCGCCUGGGGAGUACGGUCGCAAGAUUAAAACUCAAAGGAAUUGGACGGGGGUCGAUANCU